CCCAGCUCUAAGUCAGCUGACCAGCCCUGAUGGCUGGCUCGGUGUUACAGAGCUGGCAGAGGAAGCCUCUGCAUGCGCUCUCAGCGGCGCCGCCUCUGUUUUAGAGGAAGCUGCUGCUGAGAUUCUGCAGAGCUCGGUCCAAAGAGAGUGGCCCGCCCCGGUCCGUCUGCAGGGCGGGCCUAGUAGAGGACCGUACAGC
ensembl:snoRNA SNORA74 Small nucleolar RNA SNORA74